GAGACUUCCUCCCCACAGUGAGCUAAAAGGACGCUUUUGUCAGAGUGGGGAAAUAAAAGGGCUUUAUGGGAAGGAAGAUAAGAACAGAUGAGUCAGAGGUUUCUGCUUAAUGGUGGUACAGCCAAGCAGACAGGCAAGUAAGUGGCCAUACUGCUACUGCCUCAUGUAGGAUCCGGCAGGCUGGUGGGUUAUCAGUCCUCACGUGGGACCCUCCCACCAUGGCAGCUGAGCACAUCCAAGCUGGGGGAUCCUGAAGAGACCUUCACCUGGGUGCCACGUGGAAGAUUGGCCAGCACCAUUUUGACUCCUGUGGAUGGGAAACCCUGGAACAGUGUCUAUAAGUCAUGAAAAACAGAGCAAUUGAAAUGGAAUCUCACUUGGGACCCCAGUCACUGCUCCAGACUGACCAGUCAGUGGACAAGGCUUCUCGCAUUGCUCACCAGCACCCAAACUGCACCUGGUCACCUGUCUACAUUCAGAUUUAGAUGAAAGCCACACCAUGGAGGCAGCCAGAGGCCCAUGGGAGAUGUCUGGAUUCGCAGAGGAAUAGCUCCAUGUGAUGCAAACCUUGACUAAUGGGAACAGGAAAAGGGAGGAAACCAGGAAGAUAAAUCUCCCUCCCUUCUCAUUGCUCCUUGCAACCCUUCCCACUUGAAGCAUGACCACAUUUAAUGAACAACCUGCUGUGUCUCUUGGAAGCUUGCUGCAAGGCAGCAAUCAGCACAAUAACAUUGUAUUGUAUCUU
rnacentral:lncRNA from 1 species